rnacentral:rRNA from 1 species
ACUAAGCGUACACGGUGGAUGCCCUGGCAGUCAGAGGCGAUGAAGGACGUGCUAAUCUGCGAUAAGCGUCGGUAAGGUGAUAUGAACCGUUAUAACCGGCGAUUUCCGAAUGGGGAAACCCAGUGUGAUUCGUCACACUAUCAUUAACUGAAUCCAUAGGUUAAUGAGGCGAACCGGGGGAACUGAAACAUCUAAGUACCCCGAGGAAAAGAAAUCAACCGAGAUUCCCCCAGUAGCGGCGAGCGAACGGGGAGCAGCCCAGAGCCUGAAUCAGUGUGUGUGUUAGUGGAAGCGUCUGGAAAGGCGCGCGAUACAGGGUGACAGCCCCGUACACAAAAAUGCACAUGCUGUGAGCUCGAUGAGUAGGGCGGGACACGUGGUAUCCUGUCUGAAUAUGGGGGGACCAUCCUCCAAGGCUAAAUACUCCUGACUGACCGAUAGUGAACCAGUACCGUGAGGGAAAGGCGAAAAGAACCCCGGCGAGGGGAGUGAAAAAGAACCUGAAACCGUGUACGUACAAGCAGUGGGAGCACAGAGCAAUCUGUGUGACUGCGUACCUUUUGUAUAAUGGGUCAGCGACUUAUAUUCUGUAGCAAGGUUAACCGAAUAGGGGAGCCGAAGGGAAACCGAGUCUUAACUGGGCGUUAAGUUGCAGGGUAUAGACCCGAAACCCGGUGAUCUAGCCAUGGGCAGGUUGAAGGUUGGGUAACACUAACUGGAGGACCGAACCGACUAAUGUUGAAAAAUUAGCGGAUGACUUGUGGCUGGGGGUGAAAGGCCAAUCAAACCGGGAGAUAGCUGGUUCUCCCCGAAAGCUAUUUAGGUAGCGCCUCGUGAAUUCAUCUCCGGGGGUAGAGCACUGUUUCGGCAAGGGGGUCAUCCCGACUUACCAACCCGAUGCAAACUGCGAAUACCGGAGAAUGUUAUCACGGGAGACACACGGCGGGUGCUAACGUCCGUCGUGAAGAGGGAAACAACCCAGACCGCCAGCUAAGGUCCCAAAGUCAUGGUUAAGUGGGAAACGAUGUGGGAAGGCCCAGACAGCCAGGAUGUUGGCUUAGAAGCAGCCAUCAUUUAAAGAAAGCGUAAUAGCUCACUGGUCGAGUCGGCCUGCGCGGAAGAUGUAACGGGGCUAAACCAUGCACCGAAGCUGCGGCAGCGACGCUUAUGCGUUGUUGGGUAGGGGAGCGUUCUGUAAGCCUGCGAAGGUGUGCUGUGAGGCAUGCUGGAGGUAUCAGAAGUGCGAAUGCUGACAUAAGUAACGAUAAAGCGGGUGAAAAGCCCGCUCGCCGGAAGACCAAGGGUUCCUGUCCAACGUUAAUCGGGGCAGGGUGAGUCGACCCCUAAGGCGAGGCCGAAAGGCGUAGUCGAUGGGAAACAGGUUAAUAUUCCUGUACUUGGUGUUACUGCGAAGGGGGGACGGAGAAGGCUAUGUUGGCCGGGCGACGGUUGUCCCGGUUUAAGCGUGUAGGCUGGUUUUCCAGGCAAAUCCGGAAAAUCAAGGCUGAGGCGUGAUGACGAGGCACUACGGUGCUGAAGCAACAAAUGCCCUGCUUCCAGGAAAAGCCUCUAAGCAUCAGGUAACAUCAAAUCGUACCCCAAACCGACACAGGUGGUCAGGUAGAGAAUACCAAGGCGCUUGAGAGAACUCGGGUGAAGGAACUAGGCAAAAUGGUGCCGUAACUUCGGGAGAAGGCACGCUGAUAUGUAGGUGAAGUCCCUCACGGAUGGAGCUGAAAUCAGUCGAAGAUACCAGCUGGCUGCAACUGUUUAUUAAAAACACAGCACUGUGCAAACACGAAAGUGGACGUAUACGGUGUGACGCCUGCCCGGUGCCGGAAGGUUAAUUGAUGGGGUUAGCGCAAGCGAAGCUCUUGAUCGAAGCCCCGGUAAACGGCGGCCGUAACUAUAACGGUCCUAAGGUAGCGAAAUUCCUUGUCGGGUAAGUUCCGACCUGCACGAAUGGCGUAAUGAUGGCCAGGCUGUCUCCACCCGAGACUCAGUGAAAUUGAACUCGCUGUGAAGAUGCAGUGUACCCGCGGCAAGACGGAAAGACCCCGUGAACCUUUACUAUAGCUUGACACUGAACAUUGAGCCUUGAUGUGUAGGAUAGGUGGGAGGCUUUGAAGUGUGGACGCCAGUCUGCAUGGAGCCGACCUUGAAAUACCACCCUUUAAUGUUUGAUGUUCUAACGUGGACCCGUAAUCCGGGUUGCGGACAGUGUCUGGUGGGUAGUUUGACUGGGGCGGUCUCCUCCUAAAGAGUAACGGAGGAGCACGAAGGUUGGCUAAUCCUGGUCGGACAUCAGGAGGUUAGUGCAAUGGCAUAAGCCAGCUUGACUGCGAGCGUGACGGCGCGAGCAGGUGCGAAAGCAGGUCAUAGUGAUCCGGUGGUUCUGAAUGGAAGGGCCAUCGCUCAACGGAUAAAAGGUACUCCGGGGAUAACAGGCUGAUACCGCCCAAGAGUUCAUAUCGACGGCGGUGUUUGGCACCUCGAUGUCGGCUCAUCACAUCCUGGGGCUGAAGUAGGUCCCAAGGGUAUGGCUGUUCGCCAUUUAAAGUGGUACGCGAGCUGGGUUUAGAACGUCGUGAGACAGUUCGGUCCCUAUCUGCCGUGGGCGCUGGAGAACUGAGGGGGGCUGCUCCUAGUACGAGAGGACCGGAGUGGACGCAUCACUGGUGUUCGGGUUGUCAUGCCAAUGGCACUGCCCGGUAGCUAAAUGCGGAAGAGAUAAGUGCUGAAAGCAUCUAAGCACGAAACUUGCCCCGAGAUGAGUUCUCCCUGACCCUUUAAGGGUCCUGAAGGAACGUUGAAGACGACGACGUUGAUAGGCCGGGUGUGUAAGCGCAGCGAUGCGUUGAGCUAACCGGUACUAAUGAACCGUGAGGCUUAACC